UCCGUAUCUAGCUAAUCUGGUAGGGACGUGGAGAACCUUUGUGUCUGGCUCAGGGAUUGUAAACACACCAAUCAGCGCCCUAUCAAAACAGACCACUGGGCUCUACCAAUCAGCAGGAUGUGGGUGAGGCCGGAUAAGAGAAUAAAAGCAGGCUGCCCCAGCUAGCAGUGGCAACCUGCUCGGGUCCCCUGCCACACUAUGGAAGCUUUGUUCUUUUGCUCUUUGCAAUAAAUCUUGCUACUGCUUACUCUUUGGGUCCACACUGCCUUCAUGAGCUGUAACACUCACCGGGAAGGUCUGCAACUUCACUCCUGAGCCAGCGAGACCACGAGCCCACUGGAAGGAACAAACUCCCGCACGCCGCCUUUAAGAACUGUAACACUCACAGAGAGGGCCCGCGGCUUCAUUCCCGAAGUCAGUGAGACCAAGAACCAACCAAUUCCGGGCACGGGAUCAAUUGGGAUUAGAAUUUUAUCCUACUGCUAAAACAUAAAGCAAAAAGGCCAAAAGUGAUCUCACCUUUUCAGAGAAACGCACUUAAAUAGCAGCAGCAGGUGCCUCUCUUUUCUGAGCUUCCCUUCACCUGAAUGUGGUUCUGGUACUUAAAGGUUGUCUUCAUUCAUUUCCACAGUUUCUCUGGAGGUUCCAACAAGAUACGGUCUCCAUUGCCCAUUGCUCUGGACCCCAGCCAUCACCCAGUGCAGCAGUGAUGCCUUAUGACAAGUCAGCACCUGGUCUGAACUCUGCUCUCUUUGCACUGAAUUCUUUGAGUUUUUAUUCCAAGUUCAGUCAUUGGUUUUAGUAUUGGUUCCCAUCUGCUUGGCAUCCUUGGUGGAAUUGGGCUUCUUUUUUCAAUUUCUUUUUGCUGUCUUUUUGUUUUACUGUGUUGAGUAGUGCUAUCUAAAUGUGUUUAUCAUAAAAGAAGCAGCACAUGAUCAUAGGCCCAUGAGCCUGUUUUUCAAGCCAGCCAAACAGCACAUUUAGUUUGACAUUCACACUGGACCUCUGUCCAUUUUUAUAAACUUCGCUUUGGGUCAUCAAUAAAACUAAAUGAAGUUCUCUCUUG
rnacentral:lncRNA from 1 species